GACGAACGCUGGCGGCGUGCCUAAUACAUGCAAGUUGAGCGCUGAAGGUUGGUACUUGUACCAACUGGAUGAGCAGCGAACGGGUGAGUAACGCGUGGGGAAUCUGCCUUUGAGCGGGGGACAACAUUUGGAAACGAAUGCUAAUACCGCAUAAAAACUUUAAACACAAGUUUUAAGUUUGAAAGAUGCAAUUGCAUCACUCAAAGAUGAUCCCUCGUUGUAUUAGCUAGUUGGUGAGGUAAAGGCUCACCAAGGCGAUGAUACAUAGCCGACCUGAGAGGGUGAUCGGCCACAUUGGGACUGAGACACGGCCCAAACUCCUACGGGAGGCAGCAGUAGGGAAUCUUCGGCAAUGGACGAAAGUCUGACCGAGCAACGCCGCGUGAGUGAAGAAGGUUUUCGGAUCGGAAAACUCUGUUGGUAGAGAAGAACGUUGGUGAGAGUGGAAAGCUCAUCAAGUGACGGUAACUACACAGAAAGGGACGGCUAACUACGUG
rnacentral:rRNA from 1 species